rnacentral:lncRNA from 1 species
CCCGGCAAUUUACCCGACCCAAGAAGCCGACAUCAAGAGUUGCUGGUCGGGAUCUGCCACCAUCUUACCAGGAAAUAUUCCGGCCAUGUUAUACACCGGCAGCGAUUCAAAGUCCCGUCAAGUCCAAGACCUCGCAUGGCCCAAAAACCUCUCCGAUCCUUUCCUCCGUGAAUGGGUGAAACACCCAAAAAACCCACUCAUAACCCCACCGGAGGGCGUCAAAGACGACUGUUUCCGUGACCCUAGCACCGCCUGGCUCGGCGACGACGGCGUAUGGCGGAUAGUCGUCGGUGGUGAUCGUGACAACAACGGUAUGGCGUUUCUGUACCAGAGUACUGAUUU